UGGGGAAUAUUGCACAAUGGGGGAAACCCUGAUGCAGCGACGCCGCGUGAGUGACGAAGUAUUUCGGUAUGUAAAGCUCUAUCAGCAGGGAAGAAAAUGACGGUACCUGACUAAGAAGCCCCGGCUAACUACGUGCC
rnacentral:rRNA from 1 species